GUCGCCAUCAGCUCACACAAAGUCAUGUAGAUCAACAGCGCCUGGUGUCGUUCCAUUGAAGCUGAAAUGCCAAACAACUAUGCACCUGCUGGGGUGCCUGCUACGUGCAGCCAUCAAGCAAGCAAGCAAGGACCUUGAGGCAAGCCACAAUGGAGCAUUACAGCAGCAGCACCAGAGAGAAAAGGACCACAAGAAGCUUCAAUUCCAGCGCAGUGAUCAGUCAGAAGGGCUGGCACAGUAUUGGAAUAAUGGACCAUGAGCAUCCAGCAUGUUGCAACCUUUAUAUCUCUAUCUAUCAGAUGUUCUGAUCUCUCUGCUCACAUUUGGAGAUUGUUUUCACACUAUGACUGAAGCGCUUCUAUCCAUGACUUAUGGGUGAAUUGGGCUUCUCAUCUGCUUCAGCCAACAAAUACACCUGCAAAGAAUGGGGCCCGUUUUCUAAGGCUGCACAGGCUCGAAGGUGCCGGUUAGCUUGCCAGUAUCCAUUCAAAUGUUAUGACUGGCAGUGCAAGGACCCAGUCUGCAAUAAACGCUCAUUGGCGUACCUGCCAAAUGUGGUACGCGCCCAGCAGAAACGCAAAAGGUGUCUGGGUGUGCUGCAGGGAACACGCAUCAGCAUUUCUGGGACAAAUAGUUCGCGUUUGAGGAGAGGCGAAUGCACGGACCGAGGAUAUGAGAAGCGCGCCGCGUGUGCGCUCAGUGCUCUCUCUGUGGCCUUCGUUACGGCCAGUCCUGUCUCCUGUAAAAGCGCAUCUUGACGCCUUGUGU